rnacentral:tRNA from 1 species
AGCAGGGUAGCUCAGUGGAAAGAGCCUGGGCUUAGGUGUCGGAGGUCUUGGGUUCUAAUCCCGGCUCUGCCA